ensembl:snRNA U6 U6 spliceosomal RNA
GUGCUCGCUUCGGCAGCACAUAUACUAAAAUUGGAACGAUACAGAGAAGAUUAGCAUGGCCCCUGUGCAAGAAAAUUAAAGGCAACCUAUGGAAUGUAAGAAGAUGUUU